GCUAGGUAUAGUGCUGCAUGCCUGUAAUCCCAGCAACUCGGGAGGCUGAGGCAGGAGGAUUGCAAGUUCAAGGCCAGUCUCAGCAACUUAGCAAGGCCCUCAGCAACUUAGCAGCACCCUGCCUCAA
rnacentral:sRNA from 1 species